rnacentral:rRNA from 1 species
UGGAUUGAUCCUGGCUCAGAUUGAACGCUGGCGGCAUGCCUUACACAUGCAAGUCGAACGGCAGCACGGGGGCAACCCUGGUGGCGAGUGGCGAACGGGUGAGUAAUACAUCGGAACGUGUCCUGUAGUGGGGGAUAGCCCGGCGAAAGCCGGAUUAAUACCGCAUACGAUCUACGGAAGAAAGCGGGGGAUCGCAAGACCUCGCGCUAUAGGGGCGGCCGAUGGCAGAUUAGCUAGUUGGUGGGGUAAAGGCCUACCAAGGCGACGAUCUGUAGCUGGUCUGAGAGGACGACCAGCCACACUGGGACUGAGACACGGCCCAGACUCCUACGGGAGGCAGCAGUGGGGAAUUUUGGACAAUGGGGGAAACCCUGAUCCAGCAAUGCCGCGUGUGUGAAGAAGGCCUUCGGGUUGUAAAGCACUUUUGUCCGGAAAGAAAACUUCUGCCCUAAUACGGUGGGAGGAUGACGGUACCGGAAGAAUAAGCACCG